UGCCAGGAUGACGGAGUCUCCCAUGCC
rnacentral:piRNA from 1 species